GAGCCCUGCAAGAGAAAACUAGAUGAAACCAGAAUAUUACACAACUAACUCUGGGCAUUUUAACUCUAAAAUGUUUCCGAGUUACAGAAUGCUUGGAGCACUAGGGUGAGCGUGCCAUGCACAUUCAGGUACAGGCAACUUCAGAGCCUGAGUUACUAAAGCAUCCGGGCUGCAGAUGGUGCUCCACCAGCCCCUCCUAUCCCCAAAGCCAGAGUCAUGCGUGGUGGAGUUGUGAAGUCCCACUACCCAGUGGUGGGACCCUUGGGGCCUUGACCAGCCCUCAUCCAUAUCAGAGAUAUUUCUGGACACUGGCUGGGGUCAGCAGGAAAGACAGAGUUUAACAGUGAAAAGAUAACCUGCCUGCAUCUCAUGUUAAAGUGCAAACAGGAAAUACAAGUAUUCUUUCAUGGAAGUCCACCAUCUAGCGAUGGAGAUCCAUCUUGAGCUGGAGAGAUGGCGCUGCAGUUUCCAGAUCACAGGGAGUAAACGGAGGCUCGAAAAGGACUGAUCAAAGGCAUGGCGAGGAAGAGCGAGGGCUGGGAACCUACCUAGCUGGCUUACAGCCCUCCUCUCCCUCCCUCCCUCCCUGCGUACCUUCAUGUUGGAGGAGUAGGUGACGAAGUGCACAGGCACCCAGUCCUGCACAUCCUGGGCCCGGGAGUUCCCAAACCCAGCCACAUAGUCGGGGAAGGCCUGGCCUCUCAGCAGGUCCUGCAUCUUCUGUGCCAGAAGCGGACAUGGGAUGGUGCCUG